UCUCGAUAGCGUAAAAGUUAAUUGAAAUUGUAUGGAGUUGGAACGUUUGCCUACGUUUGCCGCUAGGGGCGCUGUUCCAACUCCAUACAAAUUUGAGUUUCUUUACGCUAUCGA
rnacentral:pre_miRNA from 9 species